CUUCGCCAUGUUAUCGAGGAAACGCGUCAGAGAAGCAUCAACAGACCGGCGGGGACAUAAAAACUACUGACGCGUUUACAACGGUUACUUAUUUGAAACCUCGAUCUUACAAUUCAUUAACCUUAAAUUUACACUACCACCGGUCGGCACAGCAGCUGGCCUGAACGAUUUUUGGCUUUUUUCCCCGUCGAGUCAAAGGCCGAAGCGGCUGCCAUGGAUUUUUAAGGCAUAAUGCGGCACCUUUAAUGCAAUGGCAAUGCAUAGUGCAAGGCAAAAUCAACUGCGAAAUUCCAUCUUCGCAACUGCUAAGCAGUUGGGCUCAAAUACCGUUCGCGGUAUACCAGCGAGCCAACCGGUACCGCUACUCCUGGACCGGAGGAAGCUAACGCUAGCUAGCUAAUCAUCUCAGCCACUACCAUCAACGGAAAAAAAAAGUGAUCCAUCUAUUCAUCUGAACGUCAACACUACCGAUCAAAAUGAAGCCUCAAGACAUAAUCGCCGGGAAGACCAGCCUGUGGAUCUUCGGGUACGGGUCGCUGGUAUGGAAACCUGACUUCAAAUAUAAGAAGAGUGAGGUCGGUUACAUUCAAGGCUACAAGAGACGUUUCUGGCACGGAGACAACUUCCAUCGUGGAAGUGACGAGUUGCCCGGAAGAGUGGUGACGCUGAUUGAAGACGAUGACGCAACUACUUGGGGCGUAGCAUUUGAGGUGUCAGGCUCACAAGUGGAAGAGUCCCUCAAGUACCUCAAUGUCCGUGAGACGGUCUGCGGGGGCUACAUCACCAAGAUUGUGGAUUUCUAUCCUGAAGGGGAGGACAGGUCUCCUGUUCCAGCACUGGUGUACAUCGCCACCGCCGACAACCCUCUCUACCUGGGACCAGCCACUCCAGAGGAGAUCGGUGCCCAGAUUGCCGUGUGCAGAGGCAAGACGGGUCUCAACCUGGAGUACCUGCUCCGGCUGGCAGAGUUCAUGAGGAAGAGCUGCCCACAUGUGGAAGACCAUCACCUGUAUUCCAUUGAGAAAGCGGCUCUGGCUGUGGUGUGUUACCUAUUGGUAGCUCGGUAGCUCGUACCCUUUGUUUCAUUAGCUUUCAGCAGAUACAUAAUCAUUGAGGUGUUUAUCUGUCAUGCCAGUCUUCCUGUUUUUGUAUUCUAUUGGUUCAAUCUUCCAUCCAGUGUUUUGAAUCAAAACCACUAACAAUGAAAGGGAAGCGUAAUAAACCUGUUGGGUGUGCCACACAACACUAAGAAUUGUGCAAUCAUUGUCAACUGUAAACAUUGUGCAGUUGUAUUUAAAAUGAAAAGUAAUGGUUUGGAUGUGCUCAGUUCUGAUUCCGUCCAGUGAAGUCAAGUUAACUCAACUUGUUACACCCAACUGCAAUUUAGAUGGUGGCUGUGAUGUUUGAAAGAACUACACUUCUGUCCAGUUAAGUCAAAAUGCAAAUAAAAACUGAAAAGAA